ACGAAGCCAAUGUCGGGGAGCACGUGACUAUGACGGCACCGGCAUCUCGAACCUUCCAUAUUCGUUCCCGGCACCGGGGCAGCAUGACCUUCUUACUUGGAAAGGCCGGAAUUUGAAUUCGCCGCUGAUGACAUAACGUCAAGUGAGAAAAACGAGCUGUGCUCUGCAACAACAACGUACACAGUGAUUGCUUGCCCUUUGUUCCCCAAGUUUGCCUUCAGAUACUGAGAUUCCAGUUCGGGAGACGUGACCAGCAACCUGGAGAAGCCGUAGCGGACUUCGUCGCCGUACUGCGUUGGCUAUCGGAAUACUGGGCUCGCCGAAGAGAACCUUCGGUCUUUCCCGAGCAGGCAGAGCAUACCUGUCUCUCUUGCACGUCACCCCCUCAAGUCUGUUCCUUAUCCGUUGUCGCCAAGCUGCUUUUGUUUGCCAUUGGACGAAUGGCAGUAGAUCCACCCAACAGCAAGGAAAAAUAUCACAAACUUUACUUAGCCUCGACUUACACCGUUACUCCCUUAGCCUCAUUCACCGAACUUACCCUUCGCACUAGUUGGGACUCACGGUGUUGCCGUAUACUUGGAACGCAAGCUUUCAAGACCUCAACUGCGCGCCACAAUC